AAAGUACUCCCUCCGUCCCAAAAUUCUUGUCUUAUAUUUGUCUAGAUACGGAUGUAUCAAGUCACAUUUUAGUAUUAGAUACAUCCGUAUCUAGACAAAUAUAAGACAAGAAAUUUGGGACAGAGGGAGUAGUUG
rnacentral:pre_miRNA from 1 species